rnacentral:rRNA from 1 species
CCUGGCUCAGGACGAACGCUGGCGGCGUGCUUAACACAUGCAAGUCGAACGAUGAAGCCCUUCGGGGUGGAUUAGUGGCGAACGGGUGAGUAACACGUGGGCAAUCUGCCCUUCACUCUGGGACAAGCCCUGGAAACGGGGUCUAAUACCGGAUAACACUUUCUCUCUCCUGGGGGAAGGUUGAAAGCUCCGGCGGUGAAGGAUGAGCCCGCGGCCUAUCAGCUAGUUGGUGGGGUAAUGGCCUACCGAGGCGACGACGGGUAGCCGGCCUGAGAGGGCGACCGGCCACACUGGGACUGAGACACGGCCCAGACUCCUACGGGAGGCAGCAGUGGGGAAUAUUGCACAAUGGGCGAAAGCCUGAUGCAGCGACGCCGCGUGAGGGAUGACGGCUUCGGGUUGUAAACCUCUUUCAGCAGGGAAGAAGCGAAAGUGACGGUACCUGCAGAAGAAGCGCCGGCUAACUA